GCAGCCUUUUGUGGCUUUUUCACUAUGUAUCUCUAUAGCAGACUGUCUUGCAAAAAAUGCAAUAAAAAUAUUUAAUAAAUUGAAUGUCACCCAUUUAGCAAAUAAGAUAUGAAUGAUAUCAGCACAGCAAUAGACAGACUGAAUUAUACUACAACAAAUAAAAUAACAAUUAAAAUAGUUGAAACUUUUGAUGUCUUAUACAAGAACUCCUGGGCCGGGCGCAGUGGCUCACGCCUGUAAUCCCAGCACUUUGGGAGGCCGAGGCGGGCGGAUGACCUGAGGUCAGGACAGAUUUUAUUGAGUCAAUUUGGUUAGGGUAGUAACAGUGUUUCCCAGAAAUCUUUUCUCUACAUGGUUUGGGGUAGGAGCGGGACAAAAAUGGAACAAGAUUUUGGAAAGCAGAGUGAGGCAUGAUGAAUACACUUUGAUGACUUUCAUGAUCUUUUCACACUCAGAGACAGAUUCAGAAAUGUCUGUCAGAAUCCACUUUGUCCUCUGCUCUAUGUCUGGCUUUCUUCCCGAACGCUGGCCUUGCUGACCAACAGUGGCCUCAAACCACUGUUGGCUAAGCAUCAGAGACAGUAGCUAUUCAGAUAACAGCUUCCCAUAUACCACCCCAGGAACUCCUUGUUCAGAGGCCAAUUCACAUCCCCAAAACAAUGCCUAGAAA
rnacentral:lncRNA from 1 species